AGGAAGGGUGUUUAAAGUAGGUGUAAGUGAAUUAGUUAUAGGUAUUACAGGAGAAUUAAUGGGAGUAGUCACGGGUGACAAAUCUGCAGGUAAAAGUGAAAAUAGUGGCAAUUCUGAAGGUUAAGAAUGAAGAUUAGAAGGAGAUACCUGAUGUGGCUGAAAAUCACUCCAUGGCUCCCCUUGAAUUUCAGCCGGAGUGAAAUAGGGAUCCUGCUUAUAAAAUGUUAUAUCCAUAGUGGUAAAAAUCGUUUAGAAGGAGGAUGAUA
rnacentral:lncRNA from 1 species